rnacentral:rRNA from 1 species
AACGAACGCUGGCGGCAUGCCUAACACAUGCAAGUCGAACGAGACCUUCGGGUCUAGUGGCGCACGGGUGCGUAACGCGUGGGAACCUGCCCUUAGGUUCGGAAUAACUCCCCGAAAGGGGUGCUAAUACCGGAUAAUGUCUUCGGACCAAAGAUUUAUCGCCUUUGGAUGGGCCCGCGUUGGAUUAGCUAGUUGGUAGGGUAAAAGCCUACCAAGGCGACGAUCCAUAGCUGGUCUGAGAGGAUGAUCAGCCACACUGGGACUGAGACACGGCCCAGACUCCUACGGGAAGCAGCAGUAGGGAAUAUUGGACGAUGGGCGAAAGCCUGAUCCAGCAAUGCCGCGUGAGUGAUGAAGGCCUUAGGGUUGUAAAGCUCUUUUACCCGGGAUGAUAAUGACAGUACCGGGAGAAUAAGCACCGGCUAACUCCGUG